rnacentral:ncRNA from 1 species
GAACACUACAAGCAAUAGCUUAAAACUCAAAGGACUUGGCGGUGCUUUAUAUCCCUCUAGAGGAGCCUAUUCUAUAAUCGAUAAACCCCAAUUCACCUCACCAUCUCUUGCUUAGCUUAUAUACCGCCAUCUUCAGCAAACCCUACUAAAGGUUGCAAAGUAAGCACGAGUAUCUUCAUAAAAACCUUAGGUCAAGGUGUAACCCAUGAGAUGGUAAGAAAUGGGCUAUGUUUUCUACCCCUAGAAAACCCCACGACAACCCUUAUGAAACCUAAGGGCCCAAGGAGGAUUUAGCAGUAAAUUAAGAGCAGAGUGCUUAAUUGAAUAAGGCCAUCAAGCAUGCACACACCACCUGUCGCCCUCCUCAAGAAUAUUUUAAGGAUUAACUUAACUAAACCCUCUAUGUAUUUAUAUAGAGGAGAUAAGUCAUAACAUCGUAAGUGUACUGGAAAGUGCACUUG